AUUCCAUAGCAUCCAUAUAUACAUAUAGUUCCAUAGCAUCCAUACAUACAUAGCUCCAUAGAAAAUAUAAUACACAACGAUGCUUUGCGGGCAUUAGUAAGUAAUAUUUGGCACUAAAUCAAAUGCCUUCAUGUCCAGAUCGUAGUUCAAAGAGCAUCCGCGUGGCAACCUACAAGAUGAAAUCAUCAACAUGUCAAAUUUAACACUCUA
rnacentral:lncRNA from 1 species